rnacentral:rRNA from 1 species
CCUACGGGAGGCAGCAGUGGGGAAUAUUGGACAAUGGGGGAAACCCUGAUCCAGCGACGCCGCGUGAGUGAAGAAGUAUUUCGGUACGUAAAGCUCUAUCAGCAGGAAAGAAAAUGACGGUACCUGACAAAGAAGCCCCGGCUAACUACGUGCCAGCAGCCGCGGUAAUACGUAGGGGGCAAGCGUUAUCCGGAUUGACUGGGUGUAAAGGUAGCGUAGACGGCAGCGCAAGUCUGGAGUGAAAUGCCUGGGCCCAACCCCGGAACUGCUCUGGAAACUGUGAAGCUGGAGUGCAGGAGAGGUAAGCGGAAUUCCUGGUGUAGCGGUGAAAUGCGUAGAUAUCAGGAGGAACACCGGCGGCGAAGGCGGCUUACUGGACUGUAACUGACGUUGAGGCUCGAAGGCGUGGGGAGCAAACAGGAUUAGAUACCCUUGUAGUC